rnacentral:rRNA from 1 species
CCCUUAGAUGUUCUGGGCUGCACGCGUGUUACAAUCGGGAGUACAACAAGAUUGCAAAUCCUAGUGGAUGAGUGGUUCUUCGAAAUUUUCUGAAGACUGGGAUAGUUGAUUGAAAUUAUUCAGCUCGAACGAGGAAUUCCUUGUAAUUGUAAUUCAUUAUAUUGUAAUGAAUACGUCCCUGCCCUUUGUACACACCGCCCGUCGCUCCUACCGAUUGAACGAUCCGGUGAAUUAUUUGGAGUAGCUCUGGAAGUUGCAGAACUUCCUAUGUCACGAAAUUUUGUAAACCUUAUCGUUUAGAGGAAGGAAAAGUCGUAACA